rnacentral:rRNA from 1 species
AUUCCAGCUCCAAUAGCGUAUAUUAAAGUUGUUGCGGUUAAAAAGCUCGUAGUUGGAUUCCUGUUGAGGUUGGGCGGUCCGCACUACGUGCGAGUAUCUGCUUCGGCCUUGGCAUCCUCUCGGAAAACGCUACUGUGCUUGAUUGCAUGGUGCGGGGUUCGGGACUUUUACUUUGAGGAAAUUAGAGUGUUCACGGCAGGCAAUCGCCCUGAAUAUAUUAGCAUGGAAUAAUAAUAUAGGAUCUGAUGCCUAUUUUGUUGGUUUCUAGGCGUGAGAUAAUGAUUAAUAGGGACAAUUGGGGGGAUUCGUAUUAUGGCGUCAGAGGUGGAAUUCUUGGAUUGCCAUACGACGAACUACUGCGAAAGCAUUUCUCAGGGAUGUUUUCAUUA